GCCGGUGUGGCGGAAUUGGUAGACGCAGCGGAUUCAAAAUCCGCCGCUGUAACAGGCGUGCCAGUUCGAGUCUGGCCACCGGCACCA
rnacentral:tRNA from 9 species